CCUACGGGAGGCAGCAGUGAGGAAUAUUGGUCAAUGGACGCAAGUCUGAACCAGCCAAGUAGCGUGCAGGAUGACGGCCCUCCGGGUUGUAAACUGCUUUUAUUUGGGAAUAAAGUGCAGUAUGUAUACUGCUUUGCAUGUACCUUAUGAAUAAGGAUCGGCUAACUCCGUGCCAGCAGCCGCGGUAAUACGGAGGAUCCGAGCGUUAUCCGGAUUUAUUGGGUUUAAAGGGAGCGUAGGCGGGUUGUUAAGUCAGUGGUGAAAGUUUGCGGCUCAACGGUAGAAUUGCAGUUGAUACUGGCAUCCUGGAGUGCGGUAGAGGUAGGCGGAAUUCGUGGUGUAGCGGUGAAAUGCUUAGAUAUCACGAAGAACUCCGAUUGCGAAGGCAGCUUGCUGGACUGUAACUGACGCUGAUGCGCGAAAGUGUGGGUAUCAAACAGGAUUAGAUACCCUAGUAGUC
rnacentral:rRNA from 1 species